rnacentral:tRNA from 1 species
UUAAAGAAACAUAAAUCAAGGCAAAGCUUCUAACUUUAACCUUUAGCAGUGAAACUCUGUUAAUGUUUCU